UUGCUUUGGCAGCACAUAUACUAAAAUUGGACCAAUACAGAGAAGAUUAACAUGGCCCUUGUGCAAGCAUGACACAGAAUUGGUGAAGCAUUCCAUAUAUUU